AGUACCCCAAGCAUUUUGCCUGUCACGGGCCGAGCUUAGGGACAGGCAUUAACAGUGACAGAUAAACCAGAACACAGGAGGGAGUGGGUGAGGCUGACAGGUUCAUCAAUAAUCACCUCUAAUUGGGCAAUAUGCAUUCAAACUAGAUUCUUCUGUGGAAGUGUUUCUUCCAGUGAAAAAGCUAUCAUAGAUCAUUUCCUGAUAAACAGUACUAUAAAUAUGACUAAAGAAAUCCAGUGUGCUUCAGACUUCAGUCGAAGACGUUUCCACUCAGCUUCACUUCUUAAUAUACCACAGACUCUGCGUAAACUCCAGACAAUUGAAAUGGCAGACCAAGGAAGACCUCCGUGUCCUGCAGAAGCUGUGAUUGUGGGUGGGACGGGAGGAGAUUAUUUCUCCUUUGAGUCAGCCGCCAACGUCGUCACCAUUAAGAAGGUCAACGUUACUUACAGUGAGACAACACUGAACUCAAUCCAGGUGAUUUUCAACUGUGGACACAUGAUUAAAGUGGGUAACUCAACAGGACCGAAAAAUAAAGAAAUUGUGUUUGAUGACGAUGAAAUAAUAAUCUCUGCAAAACUGUGGCCAAAUAAGACUGGUGACAGAUUUGGGGGGUUUGAGUUUAACACCUAUGGACAAACAACAUUUUCUGUCAAGUGUCAGGAACUGGGUGAACCUGUGAGUUUGGAAACGAAGUGUGGAAUGAUUAAUGGCAUUACAGGCAGAAGUGGAGAUGAAAUUAAUGCUCUGGGCUUCUACUUCACUUAGUCUACAGCUAUGCAUACAUACAGGUUACUGACAGCAUCCAAAAUAUCUGCUCAGCAAUCAUAUAAUCAUUCAAUUGUAUCAGAUAAUAUACAUCAUGUAUCAGAUUUUAAUCAAUGUUACUUUAAGAUUUUCUUCUAUUAAUUAUUACAUUUCCGGCUCUUGUAUCCAUACUAGGCAAAAAAACUUUCAUAAAUAAGUGACAAGGUAUAAAUAAUGGAUGAAUGUGUAAGCCAGAAAAAUAGAGAUAGUAAUUUGUCAUAGAUCAUUUAUCUCUUUAUAUAAUUUUCUGUUCUCUCAUUUAUUAUCUUCAUGUAUUAGUACAAUGUCAAUAAAAAGUGUAACUUGAUUUGAAAGGGCCUGACACAAAUCUCCCGGUUACUUGAAGAUAACUGUGUAUUAAAUAAACCAUUCUUCUGGUUUUGUGGGUAAGGGAUGAGGCAAGGACUCAAGAGCAGUGUUUUAUGGGUUUCAAACAAACACACAAUAACUUCUUUGUAAGAGAAAACAGACCAGUAACAAGGUUCAACAGGGAUGAACAUGAGGGGUACAUUCAGCAAUAAUCUGGCACAGGACAGAAAAUACUGGGGCUGUGUCUGAAAUUGUCAUUUUACUAUCAAUAAGGGCACUAUUUGAGAAAACACUUAAGGUGUUAACCAUAGUCGACAUUAUCAAGUGCACUCAUUCAAUCCCAUAAUACACCACACUAAUGUGCACAACUGAUGCACUCAGCAGCUAGAGAAUACCCAUAAUGCACUGUGAUGGUCCUGUCAAUUUAAUUCCUGUGUCUCGCCAGAAGAUGGUGCCUGCAUCUGAAUCAUCCACUCAUCCAUUUCCCAAACCUUUUGUCCAAUGGGUCUCAUUCAUGAAACAUUUGUAAAUAUACGAGUAAAUAUGUGAGUGAUUUGCGCGUAAAGAGAACUUCCCGAAAACUCUUCUCCUGAUUCACAAAAACUUCGUAAACGUCAGAUGUGAUAGUGUGUGUGUUAAUGAAUUCCAAUCAGUCGUAAAUGGGACGCGCGUGCACGCUCAUUCUCAAUUACCAUAAAUCCCGCCCAUUAAAUCCGACUGACAACUUUAUAUGAGCAUCAUAUUAUGACACUAAACGAAGGAUUUCAACAUGUAUUCUCAAAAGAGAAUGAAAAAUGUAAAUUUCUCAGCUGCAGAAAUUGAAGUUUUAUUAUCAGAAGUUAAUUCAAAACGCCACGUUUUAUUUUCAAGCGUAUAUGGCGUUUCAGGUCCUAAAAAAAG
ensembl:lncRNA